GACGAACGCUGGCGGCGUGCUUAACACAUGCAAGUCGAACGGCAAGGCCGUGCUUUUUUGGGGUGAUCGAGUGGCGAACGGGUAAGUAACACGUGUGUAACCUGCCCUUGACUUUGGGAUAACUUAAGGAAACUGGGGCUAAUACCGUAUAGGAGCUCCUGUUGCAUGGUGGGGGUUGGAAAGUUUCGGCGGUUGGGGAUGGACUCGCGGCUGAUCAGCUUGUUGGUGGGGUAGUGGCUUACCAAGGCUUUGAAGGGUAGCCGGCCUGAGAGGGUGACCGGCCACAUUGGGACUGCGAUACGGCCCAGACUCCUACGGGAGGCAGCAGUGGGGAAUAUUGCACAAUGGGCGGAAGCCUGAUGCAGCGACGCCGCGUGCGGGAUGACGGCCUUCGGGUUGUAAACCGCUUUCGCCUGUGACGAAGCGUGAGUGACGGUAAUGGGUAAAGAAGCACCGGCUAACUACGUG
rnacentral:rRNA from 1 species